rnacentral:rRNA from 1 species
UACCAGCACCCCGAGUGGUCGGGACGUUUUAUUGGGCCUAAAGCAUCCGUAGCCGGUUCUACAAGUCUUCCGUUAAAUCCACCUGCUUAACAGAUGGGCUGCGGAAGAUACUAUAGAGCUAGGAGGCGGGGAGAGGCAAGCGGUACUCGAUGGGUAGGGGUAAAAUCCGUUGAUCCAUUGAAGACCACCAGUGGCGAAGGCGGCUUGCCAGAACGCGCUCGACGGUGAGGGAUGAAAGCUGGGGGGAGCAAACCGG